UGGGCCUCCAGCUUCAGAACCUCUGGGGGCUUCAGCACCCUCAUCCCCUCUGCACGCCACCUCGCGUUUACGAGAACAUUCAGUAUGGGCCACGCGACUCGGCGUUCAAACCCGUGACUCCGGUUGAUCGAUGACAUUCAAAGGGAACGUGUGACUCUCUGGACUUCAACGAAUUCUUACAUGAAACUUGGAAGAAGAGGCCUUACGGAAUGCUUUGGCAGCGACUCUCUUAUCUACAAUUCAAAGGAAAGAAGGAUUAUUUCCUGCUCUAGAGUUUGGGGUUGUCUCCCCCAUAAUGCUGUGGGGUUGAACCGUAGGCUCGUGGCCUUUUCAGAUGGGCUCCUUGCCCUCAGCAGUGCGCC